rnacentral:tRNA from 1 species
GCCGCCGUAGCUCAGCUGGUAGAGUGAUCGCCUCGUAAGCGAUAGGUCGUGGGUUCAAAACCCACCGGCGGCU